rnacentral:rRNA from 1 species
CCUACGGGAGGCAGCAGUGAGGAAUAUUGGUCAAUGGACGCAAGUCUGAACCAGCCAUGCCGCGUGCAGGAAGACGGCUCUAUGAGUUGUAAACUGCUUUUGUACGAGGGUAAAUCCCGAUAUGUGUAUUGGGUUGAAAGUAUCGUACGACUUAGGAUCGGCUAACUCCGUGCCAGCAGCCGCGGUAAUACGGAGGAUUCAAGCGUUAUCCGGAUUUAUUGGGUUUAAAGGGUGCGUAGGCGGUUCGAUAAGUUAGAGGUGAAAUCCCCGGGCUCAACUCCGGCACUGCCUCUGAUACUGUCGGGCUAGAGUUUAGUUGCGGUAGGCGGAAUGUAUGGUGUAGCGGUGAAAGGCAUAGAGAUCAUACAGAACACCGAUGGCGAAGGCAGCUUACCAAACUACGACUGACGUUGAGGCACGAAAGCGUGGGGAGCAAACAGGAUUAGAUACCCUGGUAGUC